UACGUAGGGUGCGGAGCGUUGUCCGGAAUUAUUGGGCGUAAAGAGCUCGUAGGUGGCUUGUCGCGUCUGCCGUGAAAGCCCAUGGCUUAACUGUGGGUCUGCGGUGGAUACGGGCUGGCUAGAGGUAGGUAGGGGCAAGCGGAAUUCCUGGUGUAGCGGUGAAAUGCGCAGAUAUCAGGAGGAACGACCGGUGGCGAAGGCGGCUUGCUGGGCCUUACCUGACGCUGAGGAGCGAAAGCGUGGGGAGCGAACAGG
rnacentral:rRNA from 1 species